rnacentral:rRNA from 1 species
CAAAAUGGGUUUCUUAGAUCGUACCCACGUUACUUGGAUAACUGUGGUAAUUCUAGAGCUAAUACAUGCCGACAGAGUUCCGACCAACUGUACGGAUUUGGCGGCAGUUUCGGCUGUCGUCGCCGUACGGUUCGGAAGGAACGCUUUUAUUAGAUCAAAACCGGCUAAACGGCGGUUUCGCUUUCGGGCGUCUCCGUCGUAAGCGGCCCGCGCAAAGAUUUGGUGACUCUGAAUAACUUCGAGCUGAUCGCACGGUCUUUGUACCGGCGACGUAUCUUUCAAAUGUCUGCCUUAUCAACUGUCGACGGUAGGUUCGACGCCUACCGUGGUGGUAACGGGUAACGGGGAAUCAGGGUUCGAUUCCGGAGAGGGAGCCUGAGAAACGGCUACCACAUCCAAGGAAGGCAGCAGGCGCGCAAAUUACCCACUCCCAGCUCGGGGAGGUAGUGACGAAAAAUAACGAUACGGGACUCAUUCGAGGCCCCGUAAUCGGAAUAAGUACACUACA